CGCUGGUUUCCGGCACAGCACACGUGGAAGUGUGCUGUGCUGCCAGCAUGGCGGUAGGGACGUUUAGAGGCAGGGCUCUUGCAAUCCUCCGCACUUUGCUGCAGACUUUCUGUGUGGCGCCUCACAGGGUGCCUUGUCUCUGAUGCAGCUCCCCGGAAUCCUAGGUGUUUGACUCCUCCAAGCAAAAUUCGGGGUGAAGGUUGUAUUAGCUACAGUAUGAAGGUCUAAAUUAGUUGGGCCAGUGAGAACAAGACUGUGCAGUGAGUCAAUGAGGUGCUAGAGAUUAGUAAAGGAGUCCAGUAUGGUCUGUAGUUCAGCUCAGAAUUUGGGACAAGUUACAAAGUUGGUUACCUGUGAUUUUAGACCCAGAGAGCCAACUUAACCCGUUCGCUGCCAGCGGGUCUCCGCUGUUUCAUAAUCACGAUCAUUAAAGCCUUUUAGAUGCCGUGGUCAAGUGAGAUCACAUCUAAAGGGUGAAAAACCCCGGAAGCGUGUACCGGCAUGCUCUGCGGUCAAUGAGGAUGCUGGUAAUUGGUUUCAAUAUGCUGGAUCUCUCUGAAGAGACCCAGGAUUUUGAAGCUGCAAUUCUUAUUUUGGCCAGCAGGUGGCAGGCCGACAUAAGAAAUGAGCAAUUCUCCUCAAAUCAUGGGUUUGAAAGACCCAUGGGGGGUCAGAAAAAAAAAAUGUUGUAGGCUCAAAUACGAGCUUCAAAAUCAUUUAAAAAAAUGUAAAAAAUGUAUAAGUUUAAAUUGCCCCUCUUUCCGUAGAAUAAAAAAAUAAAUGCAUAAAUAACAAAAGAUAUAAACAUCAUGGGCAUCACCGCGUCUAAAAAACGCCCAUACUAUUAAAAUAUAAAAAUAUUUUUUGCAAUGUGGUGAAUGG